UGGGGAAUAUUGCACAAUGGGCGCAAGCCUGAUGCAGCCAUGCCGCGUGUGUGAAGAAGGCCUUCGGGUUGUAAAGCACUUUCAGCGAGGAGGAAGGUGGUGAGCUUAAUACGCUCAUCAAUUGACGUUACUCGCAGAAGAAGCACCGGCUAACUCCGUGCCAGCAGCCGCGGUAAUACGGAGGGUGCAAGCGUUAAUCGGAAUUACUGGGCGUAAAGCGCACGCAGGCGGUUUGUUAAGUCAGAUGUGAAAUCCCCGGGCUCAACCUGGGAACUGCAUUUGAAACUGGCAAGCUAGAGUCUCGUAGAGGGGGGUAGAAAUUCCAGGUGUAGCGGUGAAAUGCGUAGAGAUCUGGAGGAAUACCGGUGGCGAAGGCGGCCCCCCUGGACGAAGACUGACGCUCAGGUGCGAAAAGGCGUGGGGGCAGCAAACAGGAUUAGAUACCCUGGUAGUCCACGCUGUAAAACGAUGUCGAUUUUGGAGGUUGUGCCCUUGAGGCGUGG
rnacentral:rRNA from 1 species